GGAGACAGGUACAGGGUCUUGCUCUGUUGCCCCAAGUUGGAGUGCAAUGGCAUGAUCAUAGCUCACUGUAACCUCAAACUCCUGGGCUCAAGUACCCCUCCUGGCUUAGCUUUCUCAGUCGUGGAGUAUCCUUUUUCUUCCCCAACCAUUGUAAACUUACCCCCCAGACUCCACUUUUUAAAUCCUUGUCUGGACACUAGGGCCUUUUCAUUGUGUUAGGGAGACUCAGAAAAGGAAAAUGUUAUAAAAGACCAGUUUUCCCUGAUGGCUAAACAAUUAGUGGUGUAAUUUACCAAAGAAUUGCAGCCUGCGAGACACAAGGUGCUGAAUAAAGCCAAGCAAAUAGUUUCUUUACUCUUCUUAGCUUAGGAAAGUGGAUAUGAAGGGAAGGAUGUUAACUGUCUCAGGAUAUGUUGUGGGCAUUUGCCUUUGACAGAAGGACCUCCUAGGAUGAGGGAAGGGGAAGUGGUGCUGACAGCAAGCAGGAGAAGAGGACCCAACAGCUGGCUGCUCUUCAUCCCUCAGAGAAUGGCAUGGAAAGAGAGCAAAUAAUUUCAAAAUAUCUGGAAAAACAUUUAGACAGCACAGACAAUUUAUUUGGAACCUCCAUAUCAGGAAAUUACUUCUCUAAUGCAGUGACUUACUACCGAAAAGAAAGAAAAAAGUCUCUUAUGUUUGCAAAAUGUACUUUGCACAGUGCCUCAAACUUAGACCUAGCGGUCUAAUGAGAAUGUGGCUCAUUAAAUUUCUCAAAGGGAGGAAAGGGACCCAGGAAGUGUCCCCCAGAUCUAGUUCACAGCCUAAGGAAAAAAUGCCUGUGCCUUACUAUCAAAGGGUAUAAGAAAAUAGCAUUAAUCUCCAUUGUCCUGAUUAAUGAUUAAUCACUCCUAAAGGUAUAAACAGAAAAUUCAGGCCCGUUACCACCCUCCUAGGAGGAGUGCCAGCAUAUUUUACAGUCCACAAAAUCCUGCGCAAAUCUCCCUUCCCCAUUCACACCUCAGAGGCACAAGAGUAAGCCAAGUUAUUUGAACCAUGAUUUUGCUAUUCAUAUAUAUCGAAGCGCUUUCAUGUUCUCACAAAACUUGAGGCCUUGAAAGUAAGAUUUAUGCCCUGCCAGGAAAACUGGUUUUAAUGUAGUCCCACUACUGCUAUUGAGUAAACUCUUCAGAAGAGCCAUCAAGUCUUAAGAAAUCAGACAUAGCAGAGCCCCUACAGAACUAAAACACAUUUCCCCCUAACCAGGAUUCACCUGCACUUCAGGCUGAGACUUUUUUCCUAGGGCUCAAUACCCACCUCCUGCCUGGUGAGGUAUCUUUCCUCCCAAGCGCCCUCAACACCUUUUACACAUCUGCCAUGAUACGUAACUUCUUGUACUGAAAUUGUCUAAUGAUAUAUUUGUCUCUCCCCAAUUACACCACACUGUCCUUGAGCAGGAAACAGAAUCUUUUUCAGUUUUAUUAGGUUUGUGCAAAAGUAAUUGCAGUUGUGCACUGCAAUUACUUUUGCACCAACAUAAUAGUUUCCCAGUGCUUACAAUACAUAGUAGGUGCUAGUUAAUAUUUUUUGAAUGGAAUGGAAUUGAAUUCAUCUGAGCCAGUUUCCUGCCCAGCCUGGAAUGGCACUGGGACAGGUGCCAUACAAGGCUCCACACCCAGCUAUGGUGCCAUUCUGGUAACCUUUAGUAAGCCAUUCCCUAUGGGAGAUAUCAUUACUGUACAACCCAGGAAUCAUAAAAGUUGCCACCUGGAUCAGUAGAAACAAUAAAAACAUAUAUCCCUUUCUAUAAAGUACCCUAAGCUCUUCAGAGGAGAGAAGGAUGUGUUUGGUUCAAGGUUUUUACAAAGAAGAUGGUAUAUUAGCCAGCCCAGUAGAAUCUCACAAAUAGGACAGGACUUUACUACAUGGCAUAUACUUUUUUAAAAAAAUAAACUUUUUAAUUUAGAAAAGUUUUAGAUUUACAGAAAAAUUGCAAAUAUAGUACAGCGAGUUCCCAACCGUUCUGCACCAGUUUCCCUUUCAUUGACAUCUUACAUUAGCAUGGUUCAUUUGCCACAAUUAAUGAGCCAAUACUGAUGCAUUAUGGUUAACUAUAUUCAGAUUUCCUUAGGUUUUACCUGGUGUCCUUUUUCUGUUCCAGGAUCCCAUCCAGGAUACUAUGUUACAAAUAAUUCUCAUGUCUCUGCUUGGUGGUGACACUUUCUCAGGUUUUCCUUGUUCUUGAUGACUGUGACAGUUUUAAGGAGUGCUGGUCAGGUAUUUUGUAGGAUGCCCCUCAAUUGGGAUUUGUUUGAAGCUUUUCUUAUAUUAGACUACAUUAUGGGUUUAAGGGAGGAAGAUUACGGAAGUAAAAGUCCUGGAGAACUGGCCUUGGAGUCACGAGCCAGAGGCUCUCCUGGGCGUUUGAUAGUGAGCUGAGAUGAAGGAAGGACCAACCAAAAGAAACAAGCCUCUGGCGUGGAAGACAGAACAACCUGGGUGGCUGAUGCAGUGGAAGACAUCACCUAAGGGAUUUUAUUAUCUUUUGUGAGUAAUGAAAGACUGGCAUGUGGAAUAACAAGAUUGAAAUAUGACCACAAUCAAAGGCACCUGAGCAAAGAAACACACCCAGGCCCUUCUGAGUGGUUGAGCCUUGAAAAGUAAAGGCAGAUAGUGGACAGUUUUUAAAUACGAGACAAGAGUAGUGGGUGGUGGCUAGGACCAUGGAGUCACCUGGCUCUGCCACCUUCCCUCCUAAUGACUUUGAGUAGGUCACUCCACCAUUUGUGCCUCAGGGUGAUUAUCUCUAAAAGGCAAAUACAACAGUACCUUGCAAAGUUUUGUGAGGAUUAAGUAGGAUGAUAUCAGUAAGCACUUAAAAUGGUGCCUUGCCUAUAAUGAUUGCUUAAAAAAUAUUAGCUGUUAUUAUUAAAUUAAGAUGUGAGCAGAGCUCACUGGGGAGUCAUCCUAAAGUUAAGACCCAAAGGCUCAGAGGCUUUUAAAUAAAUUAGCUGGGGGAAAAAUAGAUUUCUCGAAAAAAUUCAGGAAAUUUCCCUUUAAAAAAACAAAAAGACUUAGUUACAACCCCCACACACCUGCUGGCAGGUGGAGCCAAUCACAGCAGGAGAGGGCAGAUGCCUGGAGUUUCUCAGGAGCAUGGCUCAGACCUCCUCAUGUCUUAUCCCACACGAUUUAAAUUUAGAAUCCUAUUCAGAGGACAAUUAACCAAAACUAAGUAUACUGUACUGUCUAGGGUCAUGAACUAGAACCAAGCCAACUUGGCCUUUAUUGGAACAGUGAACUUGGGACUCCAGCUCUUGAACCAGCCAGCAAAUGACCUGUUGACUCAAGCAAGUUUCGACUUGCACCCUCAUCUCAGAGCUCUGGUCUUUCAUCUCUGAAGAAGAUGAUGGGAAACAAAUGUGAUUUCUCCUCUUCAUACUCCUUUUCUCAUUUAUUCUGCGGGUGUUAUAUUAUAGGUGGUACAAGUGAAUAAUAACAAUAGAGGAUUCACUGAGCCUUUAGUCUGUGUUGGCUACAAUUCUAAGCUCUUUACAUAUAUUAACUCAUUUAAUCCUUGUAACAGGUCUCUGAGUCAAUACUGUUACCGGGUCCAUUUUUACAGAUGAGUAAACUGAGGUAUAGAAAAAUGAGUUGCUAAAAGUCUCAUAGCUAUGACAUGGCUAUAUUAGUUGUGACUAGGCUUGGUUGUAUGAAAACUCAAAUAACAUGGUUUAAUCAAUUAAUCAAGUUAUAGUUUAAUUGUCUCUGGAGUAAAUGAAGAUAGAAGGUAGGUAGUCAACAGUUGGAAUGGAAGCUCCACCAUCCUUAGAUUCAGGCUCCUCCCUCUUUCCUCUCCAGCCAUUUUAGUGAAUGACUUCUAUCCUCAGGUUCUCCUCAGUAGUCCAAGAUGGUGGUUGGAUGUCAGGUAUCAGAACGGUAUUUCAGUUAGAAGGAAAGGAAAGAGAGGGCAAUAUGGCUCUCCCAGAAGCUGGACAUAAAAACUUCCAUUGAUACCUCAUUGGUCAACCCUUUCUGCAAAGAAAGCUGCAAAGCGGCUUUUCCCUUUUUUUUUAAGUUGGGCACAUUUCUCAAAGUUCUGUUACAAAGAAGGAGGAAACGUAAAUAUUGAACCCAUGUACCAUAAAAUACAGUUUCUUGGACUAUAACUGUGGUGUUGGUUGGCAGGUGAAGACAUAACUGUGUCACCGUAUUUAUUUCCCACUAGGAAUAG